GUCACGCCCGAAGUCGUUACCCCAACCGUAAGGGGGGGGGAUGCCUAAGGUAGGACUGAUGACUGGGGUGAAGUCGUAACAAGGUAGCCGUACCGGAAGGUGUGGCUGGAUCACCUCCUUUUAGGGAGACCUAAUCUAUUUAGAAAUCGAAAACAAUGAAAAUUGUCAAUAGAAACUAAAGUGGUCUAACCUAGGUCGUUCGAGAUUGGUAGAUAUCUUUCAAAGUAUUAUUCGGCUUCGUUCAAAACCAUAUAUAAAUGGAAAAAGACAGUACCUAAUUGUCAAAGUUAGACUGCUGGAUGAAAUUCCAGCCCGAACCUUGAAAACUGCAUAAGAGAACGAGAAAAAGCAGGCAGACACAGACAUUUAGAUGGAUGUGAAAGCAAAAGAAAUUGUGGUCAAGCUAAUAAGGGCUAAUGGUGGAUACCUAGGCACACAGAGGAAGGGC
rnacentral:misc_RNA from 1 species